rnacentral:rRNA from 1 species
GAUGAACGCUGGCGGCGUGCCUAAUACAUGCAAGUCGAGCGAAUGGAUUAAGAGCUUGCUCUUAUGAAGUUAGCGGCGGACGGGUGAGUAACACGUGGGUAACCUGCCCAUAAGACUGGGAUAACUCCGGGAAACCGGGGCUAAUACCGGAUAACAUUUUGAACCGCAUGGUUCGAAAUUGAAAGGCGGCUUCGGCUGUCACUUAUGGAUGGACCCGCGUCGCAUUAGCUAGUUGGUGAGGUAACGGCUCACCAAGGCAACGAUGCGUAGCCGACCUGAGAGGGGGAUCGGCCACCCUGGGACGGGGACACGGCCCGGACUCCUACGGGAGGCAGCAGUAGGGAAUCUUCCGCAAUGGACGAAAGUCUGACGGAGCAACGCCGCGUGAGUGAUGAAGGCUUUCGGGUCGUAAAACUCUGUUGUUAGGGAAGAACAAGUGCUAGUUGAAUAAGCUGGCACCUUGACGGUACCUAACCAGAAAGCCACGGCUAACUACGUGCCAGCCGCCGCGGUAA